AGGACUGCAGUUGCUGGUGGCAGUUUUGAGAGAAGCCUGUCUAAAAAUGAAACCAGCGCAGAACCAGCACGCUUUCUGCGUAGACGGGCCACAAGUGCUUCAGCCCCUGGAUCAAGGCAGACCUGAGGCCGGCAGCCCCCCAGGCAUCCCUGUUUCAUGAGCUAAUGCAUUUCAAGUCCUGUCUCAA